GUGUUUGCUUUGCAGCACCUAUACUAAAAUUGGAAAAAUACAGAGAUUAGCAUGACCCCUGUGCAAGGAUGACAUGCAAAUUCGUGAAGCAGUCCAUAUUUUU
ensembl:snRNA U6 U6 spliceosomal RNA